rnacentral:lncRNA from 1 species
AAAAGAGCUAUUUUUCUUUUCCUGCAGGUGUUUGAGCUAGUUAGGAACCAAAACACAUGCUUCCUACAGUGAGAAAAAUCAAAGAGUCUAUAUGAAAGCAACGAGCACUACCUCUGCAAGUAAAAUAAACAAGCACACAAAUCGCCCUAGAAAAACCUGUGAAAGGGAAAGACUGCCUGUUUGUUUCUGUUUACUGCUUCACCUUGGGUCUUAUUUGGGCAGAAGUUACCAAACUGUACUAAAUUAUACUGAGCUGUGGUGGUCUGGAGAUAACAACAAACUAAACGACAAACAAAAGGACCACCAGUGUGAUGAUUGAGCCUCUUGAUGCAUCUGCUCCAUGUGAAUUAACAUACUAGAUCAUUCUUUGGAUCUGAUACAGGAGGCAUUUUCUGAGCACCGAUAAGGUAAGCACAAAAACAGUGGGGAAAUUGUGCUGCCUUCUUGGUGCAUGAA